rnacentral:lncRNA from 1 species
GAGAAAAGGAUUUCUGCUUUCAAAUCUGCUGUUUCCUGAAGCUGGGUGCUGAGUUCAGCUGCCCCUGGAGGAGCAGCAGCUCUGGGCCGCUGGCAGGGCCGCAUCCUCUUCAGUCUGGACAAAUUCCCUGCAGCCAGGGGAAGCGGCCCAUGCCUGCUGUCCUGGUAUGCAACAUUGGACCCGCAUGCUGGAAUUUGACCCUUUUCCUGCCUGACACCCAGCAAAAUAAACCCCAGGGAAGGGAUCAAUGCCUGCAACCGGAAUCCAGAAGAAAGAGGAGUGACAGAUAAGCCCUGGGUCAGAGGCCAGUGAGGUCAGGACCUCCCAGGGACGGACACACAGCCCAAGGUUUGGGUGUGAGAUUUCAGAGCCCCAGGUAAUAAAAAUAAAAGAGUUAAGGUGUCUAGCAGCUCAGUCCCUCACAGUGCUACCUGGGGCAAGGAUGGAAAUUCACCUCAGUUUGCUGUGGUCCAAAACAGAGAGGACAGCUGGCUUGCUAACGUCACACAGCACACUGUCGAGAGCAGGGUCUUCAACUCACCACUCAGGGACCCGGUAGUCAGGGGUGAGGGGGAAUGCCCUUCCAAUAUGGAGCCUGCCUCCACUGGUCCCUGUGUGGCCAGUGCUGUCCUGGGGGCUGCUGCUGUGCACUGGAGGGGCAGCUGCAUGGAGGAGCCAGAGGAGAUGGUGCCGAGGACACAGCUUGCGGCCCUGCACCUGGCUCCCAGAGGAAUGGGUCUUGGAGCUGCUCUGCACAGACCCUGACCUUGAGGAGAGACAGAGGCGCUACUCCCUCCUCCACUCGCUCAGGUGAGCAUUCAAAGCGUCAUAGGUAACCAGGAGCACUAGUUGGCAUGGUGAUUUCAGAGGUGAGUCCAAUGUGGACCCUGGCCCUGGGAAGGUCGCAGUUUGAUGGAAGAUGCCAGUAUUCAUUCUGCAAAGCUUCACUCAUUACCUACCUGGGGCCAGGAAUCAGUCUCAGAGCAAAGGAGAGC